GAUGAACGCUGGCGGCGUGCCUAAUACAUGCAAGUCGAGCGAACGGACGAGAAGCUUGCUUCUCUGAUGUUAGCGGCGGACGGGUGAGUAACACGUGGAUAACCUACCUAUAAGACUGGGAUAACUUCGGGAAACCGGAGCUAAUACCGGAUAAUAUUUUGCACCGCAUGGUUCAAAAGUGAAAGACGGUCUUGCUGUCACUUAUAGAUGGUUCCGCGCUGCAUUAGCUAGUUGGUAAGGUAACGGCUUACCAAGGCAACGAUGCAUAGCCGACCUGAGAGGGUGAUCGGCCACACUGGAACUGAGACACGGUCCAGACUCCUACGGGAGGCAGCAGUAGGGAAUCUUCCGCAAUGGGCGAAAGCCUGACGGAGCAACGCCGCGUGAGUGAUGAAGGUCUUCGGAUCGUAAAACUCUGUUAUUAGGGAAGAACAUAUGUGUAAGUAACUGUGCACAUCUUGACGGUACCUAAUCAGAAAGCCACGGCUAACUACGUG
rnacentral:rRNA from 1 species